UAUAAAGAGAAUUUACCGAAAAAAUCAAUAUUUUCGUAGGGGUUAACACAAAGAUUUUGAGAAAAAUUCAAAAAUAUGAAAAUAUUGUUUUAAUGCAUAGUUGCAUCCUUCACUAACAUAUGAUGAAGGUCAAAGAGGUUUGGAACUUUUGUUGUCUUUGUUUCUCUAGAAAAUAGCGAUUUUAUAGUGGUUAAGUCUACCAAUUUAGAGAAUAUUAUGAUGUUUUACAAAACUAAUUGAAAAAGAAUUAAAACGAUGCCCAUAAACCAUGAAAGAGAGUUUAAUAUACAUUAAUACAAAUGUAGAAUGUGUGUAGAAAUUUUAAAACAACACUAAAGAUCAUAGGCUUCAGUAUAUAAAAUAUUUACCGAAAAACUCAAUAUUUUUGUAGCACACAUAGAUUUUGAGAAAAAUU